UGCCAGCCGCCGCGGUAAUACGAAGGGAACUAGCGUUGUUCGGAUUUACUGGGCGUAAAGAGCAUGUAGGCGGAUUGGUUAGUUGGAUGUGAAAUCCCAGAGCUCAACUCUGGAACUGCAUUCAAUACUGCCAGUCUAGAGUCUGUAAGGGGGUGGUGGAAUUCCGAGUGUAGAGGUGAAAUUCGUAGAUAUUCGGAGGAACACCAGUGGCGAAGGCGACCACCUGGUACAGUACUGACGCUGAGAUGCGAAAGCGUGGGGAGCAAACAGGAUUAGAUA
rnacentral:rRNA from 1 species